rnacentral:lncRNA from 1 species
UCUCAUUUUUCUACUGCUCGUGGAUUUACGCGCACGUUGGAACCGAAGAGAGCUCUGUUGUUGCAAUGUUCAGCCCACAAGAGCUUACUGGUGAAGGAAUGGGACAAGACCCAUCUUUAUGCAAAGCCAGCGUUACAGUAAUGUUCCAGCAUCUCAUAAUCUAUCCUGGGGAAUUCAGCUGCCUCCCAGGGUGAAUACAGGUAUUCCUGAUGACAGUCUGCCUCUAUCUUACAGAGCAGCUUGUUGCUAUAUACCAUUGAAAAGCCUUCAGAGCUGAGAGCUUUGUUUUUCUCUAGGUACUACUAACCAAUAACCUGCUUGGCUCAAAGGGCCAGCACCUUCUCUCUAAAGCCCAAGAGGAGUUUGAGGAAAACUAGGUGUCUGUGUUCACUCCAGGCUGAAGUUACAGGUCUGAGCAAAUAAGGUGUAUAAAAAAUGGAAUCUGUCUUGGAGGACAUCAGAAGGUGAAUUUUCCAAGUUCUUGGACAACCUAGCUGUUGAAAAGCUUUCUGGGUUUGGGGGGUAUUUCAGAUGUACCUUAAAGUGUUAGCAGACACAGAUUAAGACACUGGGAGCCAAUGAAACAGCAGUUGAGGGUUUGCUGUGUAUCACAUUUCUGUAUUUUAUCACCCCCUUCCUGCAACAUUAUUUAUCUGGAAUCUACCUGCCCUUUUGUUUUUUAGAUACAAGGGCUUGGUUUUGUUACCCAGGCUGGUUUCAAGGCCAUAGCUUUAAGAGAUCCUCUCACCACAGAUUUCCAAAGUGCUGGGAUUGCAGGUGUGAUUCAUGGCACCCAGACUUUGCUGCCUUUCUUACAUGAUCCAGGCCCAGAACCCAAACUCAGGCACUGUAUAGAUGACCACUUUCGUAAACUACUGACCUAGCUUGUUGCCAAUUGUUGAUUGAACUUCCCAUAACUCCACUUCGUGUCUGUUCCUCUGUAUACAGCCACCUUCUGUUCCCGUCAUGAGCCUUUAGGUCUCCAUUUGCAUAUUGCAAAUACUAUGUUCCAUGUAGGUAGCUCAUUCAGGGCCUUGCUCUUCACUUCAAAAAAGGUUCCCUUGAGGACUGGCUGUCAAUUUGUGUUGCUGUGUUGGUUGUUGAUGAAAAUAAUAAAAUGAUUGAUUACAUA